AAGAGAACCUCAAAAGAUCUUUAAACAGAAAGUAAAAUUGAGCGUUUUCAGAUCCUUAUAAGCAACGUAUCGACACAUUUUAUAUGAUCUUUAGGGACGGACCAUUUAACUUGCAGAGGGGGAGGCAUGCGCGCAUUUUUUUUUUAUUUUUGGGAAGUGGCGCGACAAAUUAUUUUUUUCAAAUUUAACAUUAUUUUUUAUGGUAAAUAUCCUCUGUCAAAAUUUUUUUUCUCCCUUUGCUGGCCAAAUUAUUUAUUUUCUCUAUUCAGAAUCAACAUAUUUAUUUACGAAAAAAAACAUGCCCCCCCUCCCCCCAAUUGCAAGUUAAUUGGUCCGUCCCUUAGUUUAGUCCGAUUGUGUUUCAAACUGACGAAAAGGUCAGUCAUUCGAUUUUUUGGCCUUCGCAAUAAGGUAAUAUGUCCCGGGAUAUUGAAUUUAUGUCAGUUUUCAAAUUUCUUAUGAAAAUGAGAUGAAAUAAUGAAUUUAUUUUUCUUUCAAACCAAACCCCCAAUAAGGUUCUCGUAUUGCUUAUCUUUUUUUAAAAGAUAGCAACCUGUUUUAAUUACGGAGUGCAGGACUCCUCCAAAUACGCGCCUGAAUACAGUGUUUUUACUUUUAAAAUUGCAUUAAGACAGUACAUAUUCCAACUUGUUUGAGCACGCCUAAAGAUUUUUGACGUGAAAUUAUAAGUGUAUAAUGAUAACUUGCAGAUUGGAUGCAUUUUAUGUUAUAAUUGGCCUUAUUGGAAUUACGAUCCAUGUCAACUUUAACUUGCAUUAACCUCGGGGUCAUUCGUAUAAAUAAAUAAAUAAAUAAUUAAAUAAGAAUAAAUAAAUAAAUCUUUAUUUAAAGAGAGUAACUCAUUUGGAUUAAAUCAAUUUUCAAUAAGGCUCUCUAUAGACACAAUAUUAACAACAUGAAUAAACAUAAUCUACUACUACGGUUUUUUUUUUAACGACCUUGACAAAAAGCCCUUGCACGGUUGAUAUAAACCAAAUCAAUCUAGCAAUACACAAUGAUGAAUAAUAGUAUA
rnacentral:lncRNA from 1 species